rnacentral:tRNA from 1 species
GAGGGUGUAGCUCAGUGGUAGAGCGCAUGCUGGGCAUACAUGAGGUCAGCGGUUUAAUCCCCAGUACCUCCA